ensembl:lncRNA TUBA1B-AS1 TUBA1B antisense RNA 1
AGUACUGCAGUGUGCGGCGCAUGGCUGCGAGGGCCUGCCGAGGGGCGGGCGCGAGUCGGAAAGACACCGACCAGGGAAUGGGCGACGAGGCUUGCCUUAAUUCGGAGGAAACCCAGGACUUGAGAGAGCCAUACAAUUUGAAAGACGAAGCACCGUGAAAUGCAGAAAGUUGUGGUUCGGAUAGCUCAGCUGAUUAAUUUCAUGUUGCCACAGUUUGUCAAACAUGGACAAGAUGGCUGGGGUCCUGUGGAGUUCUAGUAAUCUUCUUACGAUAAUAAAGCAACCUUAUGCCAUAUGAUAUGCUAAGGAUGGAGGAAGAUAGAGUCUAGGUGCCUGAUGACAACAUGGAGCUGUCAAGCCCUGCAUUGCCUCCCCCUGGACGUCUCAUUAUGGGAGAAAAUGAAGCAAUUUGUUUAAGCCACACUGAUCUUUUUUCCUAUUUUUCUUUUUCUUUUGUUGAGUGUGUGUUUGUGUCUGUUAUUUACAGCUGAUUGUAAGUCAUAACUGAUGUGGUAGUGGGACUGUGUAAGUUUUGUCUUCUGAUGUUUUUCUUUUUUUUUUUCUUCUUCAGUGAAACAGGGAUGGGGAGAUCAUUAGCUAAAUGUAAGGAUUGGGGAAGGAGUGUGGGAGGUUUGUGGAGAGAGAAUGUGUGAAAUGUGGGAAGUUUGUGGAGAGAGAAUUUGUGAAAUAGUUAUCUCUGAAUGGUAGAGUAAAUUAAGUAGGGAGAGGUAGUAGGUCAUUCAGACAUCUGUGGUUGUAAAUAUAAAAUGAGAUCAGUCAUCUGGGUUGUAUUUUUCCCUAGUCAGGUUUACCUGCUCAGGAGAAGGUAUAAACCUGAUAGUGAAUUGGGUUUAACCAGGAUUUAUAUUUUGCUAAAGCCAUUGUGUCACCAUUUGUGAAAUAGAAGAAGAUACUGUAGAGUCACUAAGAAGACAGUUGACUGAAUGGAUUUAUAAAAACAUGUAGCCGGGCACAGUGGCUCAUGCCUGUAAUCCCAGCACUUUGGGAGGCCGAGGCGGGCA